AUGAUGAGAAACAGUUAAAAUUUUUAUGGUUAGAACACAAAUGAUCAACUGUGAUUAUGACUUAACUAGGGCGGACUGAUUUG
rnacentral:ncRNA from 11 species